CAAAUACUCCCUCCGUCCAGAAAUACUUGUCGCAUAAAUGGAUGAAAAUGGAUGUAUCUAGAAUUAAAAUACAUCUAGAUACAUUCAUUCCAAUGACAAGUAUUUCCAGACGGAGGGAGUAUAUA
rnacentral:pre_miRNA from 1 species